rnacentral:rRNA from 1 species
GACGAAUGCUGGCUGCGUGCUUAACACAUGCAAGUCGAACGGUGAAGGAGGGCUUGCCCUCCGGAUCAGUGGCGAACGGGUGAGUAACACGUGGGCAACCUGCCCCUCACUCUGGGAUAACGCCGGGAAACCGGCGCUAAUACCGGAUACGACCAGGCGCGACAUCUCGCCUGGUGGAAAGAAAUUCGGUGAGGGAUGGGCCCGCGGCCUAUCAGCUAGUUGGUGGGGUAACGGCCCACCAAGGCGACGACGGGUAGCCGGCCUGAGAGGGCGACCGGCCACACUGGGACUGAGACACGGCCCAGACUCCUACGGGAGGCAGCAGUGGGGAAUAUUGCGCAAUGGGCGAAAGCCUGACGCAGCGACGCAGCGUGAGGGACGAAGGCCUUCGGGUUGUAAACCUCUUUCAGCGGGGACGAAGCGAAAGUGACGGUACCCGCAGAAGAAGCACCGGCUAACUACGUGCCAGCAGCCGCGGUAAGAC